UGAAAGGCCAAUCAAACCGGGAGAUAGCUGGUUCUCCCCGAAAGCUAUUUAGGUAGCGCCUCGUGAAUUCAUCUCCGGGGGUAGAGCACUGUUUCGGCUAGGGGGCCAUCCCGGCUUACCAACCCGAUGCAAACUGCGAAUACCGGAGAAUGUUAUCACGGGAGACACACGGCGGGUGCUAACGUCCGUCGUGAAGAGGGAAACAACCCAGACCGCCAGCUAAGGUCCCAAAGUCAUGGUUAAGUGGGAAACGAUGUGGGAAGGCCCAGACAGCCAGGAUGUUGGCUUAGAAGCAGCCAUCAUUUAAAGAAAGCGUAAUAGCUCACUGGUCGAGUCGGCCUGCGCGGAAGAUGUAACGGGGCUAAACCAU
rnacentral:rRNA from 2 species